AUUGCUGCAUCAAGUAUGUUCUUGGGGACCUUUUGGCAUUUACAGUUCCUCAUUAUUUCCUUCUUUCAGGGGAAAGUGUAAAAGGUGACUUGAAAAAUCACAGUAGGAAAACUCGCUUCUGUAAGCAGGAAGGCUCAGGAUGGUGAGUGAUCUUCAAAGGCAAGGACUGGGAAAAUGAACAGAUAUCAAGAUCCCAGAAGUAGCUGAUGCAAAAAUCACAUCUCCCAACCAAAGAAGACAAGAGAGCUUCUGCUCAGGAGUCACCAGACAAGUCAUUGGAAUCUGUACAGCACUGGAUUCUCUUGAGCACCUAUAAAUUUUCGUAACAUCAGCUCCAAUAAUGAAGUCAACAUUCUACAUUUCACAGCGACUACUCGUCAUUUUAGGACUGGCUUGUUUCACUGAUUGACGACUUCAUGACUUCAUAUUCACUCAUUUUAUCAUGUAACACCCAGGGCUGAAGAAUAGAAUAUUGCACAAAUAUACUGUACAUGUUCAGAUCUUUACUAGUUCAUAGAACUUAGUUUGUUUCCACAGCUUGGUUAUUAAAUGAUCUGCAGUGAGACAGCUAUAGUUUCAGUUCACAGAUACAGAGCUAGAGUUGGAGUUACUGAAUCAUGUAGUGGUUCCACUAUUAAUUUUUAAG
rnacentral:lncRNA from 1 species